GUUGCUCGGGUGGUUUGGAGGACGGUUGGGUGUGUGUUGGGCACAUCUCUUUGCCCGAACAAUAUCUGGCAGUAUUUCUCCUGGUGUUACAUAUUCCUUCCUGAUGGGGCUAAGUUUUAUACCUUUGGUUUGGCAGCCGUUUGCUGGGCAAUCUGGAACUGUCGCAACCAGGCUACUUUUGAACAAAAAAUGCUUAAGACUCCAUUUAAUGUGGUGUAUGCUGCUUGUGGUUUUUUGAUAUACUGGGCAGGUUUGCUGGCUGGUGAUGAUCGGGAGGCCAUGGAGCGCGGAGCCAAGAUGCUCAGGUCCAAUGCUUCGACAAUGAUGAGAAUCUGUGCGGCUCCAACCAAAUCAGCGAUGGACUGA
rnacentral:rRNA from 1 species